rnacentral:rRNA from 1 species
GGGCGGAGACAGCGAGCGAGCGAGCGAGCCUGACGAAGAGAGAGGAAAAGCCGGGCUUUUGGUUUCUCUGCGUCGCGCGCGUGCGGCUGGCUUGCAGCCGGUCGGCUCCGGCUCGGCAGGGCAUGCAUACCUUAGGGGGGACCCGUGCCGUAGGCGCAGGCGCUGCACGGCGCGGCCGGUUGGCAGGGAGGGCUAAAAUUAAGCCGAGGUGGGGGCUGCCGGCCAGUCAGUUUGGGCGGGGGUGGGUAGGUUGCCGCCGGCAAGGGGUUACGGAGGCGGGCGAGGGGAGGGUAGGUGCACGGGUGGCGCAGGCGGAGGGAGUGCCAGUGCCGGGUGCCCGGCGGCGAGGGGUGGAGCGGCGGGCAGGCGAGGGGAGAAAAUAAGGGGAGGGGGGAGCAGCGGUCGGCGGGGGCUGAGCGUAGGUAGGUAGAGGUCGGUGGCUCUCCCCUUUAAUCAGGUCUGAAAAUCCCAAAGGACUCUCUCUCUAGACCCUCCCGCGGUACCUGCCCUUCGACGGCGGCGGGUUGGGGUUGGAGGGCAUGGCCCUCCUGACGACCUCGCUCCCGCUCUGCCGGCGGGAGCAGCUGCGGACCCCCAGCGCUAUGUAGCUGGAGUUGGCGCCGUCGGAGGCGGUCGGCGUCACCGCGCUCCAGCGGCUGCGGCAGUUGUGGGCGGGCCCCCGGAGGCGCGCGGCGGCCGGGGGCGCGUGGCUGUAGGUCACGUUCUUGGCCCAGCUAUGGGAGUUCUUCUUCAUGUUCCGGCUCGCCCGCGCCCCGCCCGGGAGCGGGACCGGGAAGAAGGCGGUCGAGCUGCAGGAGCAGCCGGGCUGGGAGAGCCGGCGGCGGCGGUUCUUCGGGAGGGGCGGGGCGCGCGAAGGGUACGACGCCUCCGCGUACAGCGGGAGAGCGAGGGGCAGCGGCGGGAGCGGCCGCGGCGGCUACCGCGAGGGGGACGGGUUGAUGGCGGCGCCCAGGUUGGAGGGCCGGCGACUGGAUAAGGUAUUCCGGCGGCGUCGACGCCGACGGCGCCUAAGGCUGAGCCUGCUACCGAUGUUAUUGUUGUUGUUGAUACUGCUGCUGCUCCCGAGCGUCGUUAGCCGGAGCGCGAGUCACAGCAGAGUGAGACCACCAUUGCCAGGAGGACAAGAACCGCCACCACCCCCGCCGCCACCGCCGUUGUUUUCCUUCUCCCCGCCCCGGCCUCCAAAACCCCUCGAUCGCUACCGAUACCUCUGUAAGCGACUCUACAUACUCGCGUACCUCCGACGGUUCGUCUCCGUACGUCUCCUCUACCUCUUCGUCGCCUAGUUCAAGGAGUUCCUAGACCUUGAGUUCGCCUACGUCCGAAAGCACCUGUACGUCGAAGUUGAAAGCUCCCAUUUCGUUCGGUUCUUGCCAUGGAGCCUCUACGAGUACAGAGAACGACGUGACGGCAAGGAGUCGUUGGGACGAAUGGAGACUAUAUUCUCAAAUCUAAUGAACCUCAGUUCGUACCAUACCACGACGAGAAACUACUUCUAGUUAGAUCCAAGUAGACCUCAGACCUACACAUUUUGUCUACGAAAGACGAAGUCGGUUCUCGAAACCACAGCGGACGCAAAAGACCUGAUACCGGCAACCGCAAAACAGAGAAAAGAAGGCGACCCUACACUUGUCUGUUAAGGCAACAAAUCAAAAAGAAAGUCAAUUGUACUAAAUGUUCCAGACAUUGUCUUUUAUGACUUAUACUUAGUUGAGCUCGGUCGACGAAACUUUACAUGUAAGCUCGACUAACCGGGAAAGAAUCAAACGUUCCGCGACUGACCUUUUGUCUUACCACCGUAUACUUACUUCGAGAGAGUCUAACUCCAUAGGUUAAAACCUAAAACGAGUGCUAACACCCAGGAAGGCUAGUCGUACCAUGCGGAUACCAAAGCUCUAACAUUCUCUACAACACGUACCUCCGCCGAAUUCCUCUCGAGCUGACAACCCUCUCUGUAGACAGAGCCGGCCCACGAGUCGCCGACGCUCGUCCGCCGAAUUCCCCGCAGGCCGCCAACGCCGGAGUGACCGACCCUCGCUACAGAAAGGGACAACCCCAAACUACCAACGUAGGAGCGGCCGAGCCUCACCACAGAAAAGAAGCAACGGAAGGAGGACGUAAACUAACGUACGACAAUACGACCAUUUAAUCUUACCGAACAACAAGUGUACGGACUGGUAAAACCGAGGAACGAACGGGACC